UACGUAGGUGACAAGCGUUGUCCGGAAUUAUUGGGCGUAAAGAGCUCGUAGGCGGUCUGUUGCGUCCGCUGUGAAAACUCGGGGCUUAACCCCGAGCCUGCAGUGGAUACGGGCAGACUAGAGGUAGGUAGGGGAGAAUGGAAUUCCCGGUGUAGCGGUGAAAUGCGUAGAGAUCGGGAGGAACACCAGUGGCGAAGGCGGCUCGCUGGGCCGGACCUGACGCUGAGGCGCGAAGGCGUGGGGGAGCGAACGGG
rnacentral:rRNA from 1 species